rnacentral:snRNA from 1 species
GGAUAUGAGGACGAUCUGGCUGCAACAUCUGUCACCACAUUGAUGGGAAGGGUUGAUUCAGCUGAUCUGACUGGCUAGGCAGGGGUCUCCUUCCUCCCUCACUGCAUCAUGUGCAUCCCUCAAUCAAAGAGGACCACCACCCCCAAUAAAGGAGGACCAUUUUCUUGGUCAAGGAUAUAUGAAUAGCCACGCUCCCCAGCUAGAACCUCCAAACAAGCUCUCCGUAGCAACAUACACAUAUGUACAUGAUCUCAGAGUUUCUGCUGCAGAAAACCUCCAGAU